rnacentral:ncRNA from 2 species
UAACGAUAGCGCCACGUUGGUUCCGCGAACCCGUUCGGGAAAGCGGAUCAAAAGGGAACACGGUGCGGCGUACCCAUCAGGGACCAAAUCCGUGGCUGCCCCCGCAACUGUAAGCGGCGAGUGCCCUUCGAUUGCCACUGGUGAAAACCGGGAAGGUGGAGGGACACGACGACCCGCGAGCCAGGAGACCUGCCAGCGUGCAACCGGGCGA